rfam:Oryza meridionalis cultivar OR44 (W2112) chromosome 1, whole genome shotgun sequence.
UUUUGGAGAGAUGAUGAUUUAUAUCAGAGGCUGUUUCUGAGGAUGAGCCUUGAGCUCACCCAGUGCUGCAAAAGAACUGAUUUGCCGUUCUGAUCCAAUU